ensembl:lncRNA
CGCAAACAGAUCAGCUGCAAAGUGCUACAGCUUCUACUAUUACCACUGACAGUGGAGGCCCGCUUAUCUUUUCCAAACUUCUCGCAAGUGAUGUUUAAGUGCCUGCAAGCCAAUAUCAUACAAAGUCUGGAAGCCUGGCAACAACCGCUUCUCACAGUAAUGUAAGUUGAGUUACUAAACUACUGGACCUCACAUCAAACUGGCUGAAGAAUAUUUUGCUUUACCGAUUCGACGAGGGAGGAUGUGGAAAAUGUGGUUGUGUUCACCUCUGGCAGAAGGACAACGGCAAAGAGUUGUGAUAACGAAUGUCACUUAGAGCUUGUCAAUAACCCCUAAUAACUGGAGAAGUGUCAAAACCUAACGUGCUUAAUCUUUGGAGAAAAUAAUAAAGGAGAGAUUUUAGAAGGUCAUCAUCAAAAUAUCUUCACAUGCACUCGAAAUGGACAGCUUGAAAAAAGGUAUGAGUUCUGUUUUAUUCUGUGCGUGACCUGAUACAGUACAACUGCAGUCUUGAAUAUAGGCUGCAAGAAGAAACAGCUUGGAAUACAUAGGUAUUUGGAGGAUUUAUGUUAAUCAUUGUUAAACUGUUUUUGUACCUCAAGUGACCUGCUGAAAGAACUUUGAGCUUAAAUGUUUGUCUUCUUUUCCCAGCUCUAGUAAUAAAAAGCUGUACUUCUUCAUAAAAGUUACAUGCCUGUCAAGGAGUGCAAGGCAUUCCCCCACUUUCUUCUCUGUGAUACUGGGAGGAAUAUUGGUUGGAAAGCAGAAGUGGUAGCCUUGGUUAAAGGCAUGAAAAUGACCUUCAGAUGACUUCAUUAGCAAGUGAUGAUUAUGCUCAAAUGUCCUUUGAGAUUGUCAUUUGAUUCUGUGUGCCUGAUUACCUGCUGGCAGCUGGAACACAUUUCUGAUUUAAUUUCACUCAAAGGGAAUCCAGUAUGUGUGCUCUGAGACCACUAAGUGCUAUAAACCAAUGUGCAGUAAGCAAGGACAAUCAGAAGGUUUGCUUCAAAAAAUCACUAUUGAUCUGAACUAGAAUGCUAAUGUUAACCCCUGAAGACUUACUAUCAAGGUCCUGGAGUAACUCUCUUCGGAGGCAACCUAAAUAAAAAUUAAGCGUUAUCUGAAAACUUAUCUACUCCUUUUUUUUUUUUUUUUUUCCCCACUUGGUCCUAGCUUCCCCAUAAGCAUUCAUAAAGUCAUAGAACCAUAGAAUUGUUCAGGUUGAGAAAGACCUUAAAGAUAAUCAAGCCCAACCUCAACCUAACCAUACUACCCUAACCCUAACAACCCUCCGCUAAAUCAUGUCCCUGAGCACCACAUCCAAACAGCUUUUAAACACAGCCAGGGAUGGUGACUCAACCACCUCCCUGGGGAGCCUGCUCCAGUGCUUAACUACCCUUUCAGUAAAGAUUUUCAUGAUAUCCAACCUAAACUUACCCUGGCUCAACUUGAGGCCAUUUCCCCUCAUCCUGUCAUUCUGUGUUUCUUUCAAAUUCUCCUUACAAAUUUUCUUAGC